rnacentral:lncRNA from 1 species
UAGAUUCCCAACAACAAUAUCAUGAUUGUUCUUAUUGAACACAAGUUUAAUAGGGGAUUCACACUACAAACUUCAAAAUUACAUACACAACAUUGAAGUUACUAGGAUUCACCUAAUUUUUACUUUUGAAGCCUACAAAUAACCUGAAACAUAAGCCGUUCAAUUUCAUGCAGCUCCUCCAUUUGGUUUCCCAUUGUUUGUUUCUUCUUUUCCCUUGCGAAAAGUAAAUUUCACAGAAAUAUCCACGUCAUUUUCUUCGGUUAUUUUAGCAACAUUCUUCAACAAACUUGAUAACUCCAAUUCGUUCGAUGUAGCACUUGACUCGCCCUGAAAUUGCAAAAGUUCUUCAUGUCAAGCCACUUGAAAUGACCAUAAUCGUUCGUUCUACAGAAGAAUAGCCCACCUAAGUUUUUAGUCUUCUUUUCAACCUCCAUGCAUUUCUCAAUUUCCUUGCCGCAUACUGGGCAUGGUUUCUUCGUGGGACAAUCAGACAAGUAGGGGCCCGACUUUCUGCAACCAUGACAUCUAAUGAUAUGUCAACCAAUUUCUACACCCUUAAUUUCCAUUUUGGCAUUUUGCAGAAUAAGAAAUUCAGUGGCCAACAUUAUUACUUGAUAUGGGAUACCGAUAUUGACCCGAAAUAAUUGAAUGGAUUGUCGGAGACUUCGCGUGAGAUUCUAUUGAAAUCAAUUUCAAGAUGUUAGGGUUUGAGAGAUGUAGGAGAAGAUGGUUCUUGAGGUAAAAAUAGGAUUCUCGACAGAUUUGGGAGCAUCUUCGAUUUGGGGAAGGAGAUGUAUAUGGCGUACGGGUCUUUUUCUUUUCAUUUUGUAUCUAAAACACAUUUUCAUUAAUUUUUAUACAAACAUUGGAGCGAACUUGCUGAAGUGGAAGAUGUGUUGGUACUUG